AUUGAACGCUGGCGGCGUGCCUAACACAUGCAAGUCGAGCGGUAACAGGUGUAGCAAUACAUGCUGACGAGCGGCGAACGGGUGAGUAAUGCUUUGGAAUCUUCCCAGUAGUGGGGAAUAACCAGUCGAAAGAUUGGCUAAUACCGCAUACGUCUGUAAAGGGAAAGCGGGGACUCGCCUCUUCUUCGGAAGAGAGGCCUCGCGCUAUUGGAUGAGCCAAAGCGGAUUAGCUAGUUGGUGGGGUAAUGGCCUACCAAGGCGACAAUCCGUAGCUGGUCUGAGAGGACGACCAGCCACACCGGAACUGAGACACGGUCCGGACUCCUACGGGAGGCAGCAGGUGGGGAAUAUUGGACAAGUGGGGAAACCCUGAUCCAGCGACGCCGCGUGUGUGAAGAAGGCCUGGCGGGUU
rnacentral:rRNA from 1 species